GCGAGAGUGGCGGAAUGGCAGACGCGCUUGUUUAAGGGGCAAGUUCGAAAGAGUAUGGGUUCAAGUCCCUUCUCUCGCACCA
rnacentral:tRNA from 1 species